rnacentral:rRNA from 1 species
UACGAAGGGGGCUAGCGUUGCUCGGAAUCACUGGGCGUAAAGCGCACGUAGGCGGCUUUCUAAGUCAGGGGUGAAAUCCUGGAGCUCAACUCCAGAGCUGCCUUUGAUACUGGAGAGCUUGAGUCCGGAAGAGGUGAGUGGAACUCCGAGUGUAGAGGUGAAAUUCGUAGAUAUUCGGAAGAACACCAGUGGCGAAGGCGGCUCACUGGUCCGGUACUGACGCUGAGGUGCGAAAGCGUGGGGAGCAAACAGG